rnacentral:lncRNA from 1 species
AGGGGAGGGCCGUGGGGUGGAGGAGGUGGCAGUGGCCGCUGUGUGCCGGGUCAGAGGAGGGCCGCAGGCGAAGGUAAGGAGGAGGCGGCGUUGGAGUCGGUCGGGUGAGGAGAAAAAACAAAAAAACGGUUCGGGGUGGGCUGAAAGAUUCUCCUGCGGGGUGGAAUUUCAGCCUCAACAGAUAAUAGCUAAGCGCACAUGGUUAGCAACUAAUUCAUGUUUAGUGAGUC